CACGUAGGGUGCGAGCGUUGUCCAGAAUUAUUGGGCGUAAAGAGCUCGUAGGCGGUGUGUCGCGUCGGCCGUGAAAACCUGCAGCUUAACUGUGGGCUUGCGGUCGAUACGGGCAUCACUGGAGUUCGGCAGGGGAGACUGGAAUUCCUGGUGUAGCGGUGAAAUGCGCAGAUAUCAGGAGGAACACCGGUGGCGAAGGCGGUUCUCUGGGCAUGUUCUGACGCUGAGGAGCGAAAGUGUGGGGAGCGAACAGG
rnacentral:rRNA from 1 species